rnacentral:lncRNA from 1 species
GGUAAUACAUUAAAUUUGGAUGCAAAAACAGGUGAAACAAAUGAAUGUGAUGCACCAGUGUCAAACAAAACAUGAGCAAGAUGAUUACAGAUAGUGUGCAUACCCUGUACCACAUCCGGGUCGACUUCGGCAUCCUGUUAGGUGAGAUUGUAAGCUCUGCCCUAGAUAGGAGGUCUUCCCUGAUUCUGGUUCCUUGGGCACUCUCUUACAUAGUGUUGGGCACUACCACAUAUGUGACAGGUGUUGUUGAGGCGGUAACAUGGUCAGUUCCCGUGAUCCCUGCCGCAAUGCUGACAGAUCUUACCACGUCCUCCCACUGGAGCCUAAGAGGCAGCCUGGAUCAUCGAUCUGGGCCUCUUGUUCUGUUGGACAGGCGCAGUAGGUGCUGGUCUGCGGGGUGGAGCUAAGGGUCUGUGGUUCCCUACUGACUGAGGGAGGGUGUGGAGGCUCCUCUCCACUAACUGUGCCUUUGCCAGAACGGCCGAGUAAGUCUUGAGCUCCAGUACAAAUAAAUACUGCUUGAUCUCUGGGUGAAGGCCCCAAUGAACCUCCUAGCCUUUCUGCCCUCAUCCAUCAGCGUCUUAGGGGAAUAUCGGCCCAACUCCAGGAACUUACGAGCAUAUUCUGACACCGUCAUGUUCCCCUGGACCAACUGGACAAACUCCAUCUCAUUCAAAUGUCGGAUGUGCUCUAGGAGGUACUCUGCAUGAAAGGCUGCUAAGAACUGUUCCCAAGUAACUAGAACAGACAAGGUGGUCUAUUUGAGUUCCCACCAGCGGUCUACUUCUCCCAUCAGCAUGUUGGUAGCAAGGGUGACCCUCUACUCGGGAGUCACUCCUAGGGUCUUAAAGGCCUUCUCCGUCUCCGCCAACCAAUACUGGGCAUCUUCAAAAGAGGAUUCCCCCUGUAAAAGUAUAUGGGUUCAGUCUCCUGUACCUUUCUACAUAGUCUGGGUCAAUCAUGGAAGGAGUUGGGUCCCACGAAAAAUGGACUGAGCUAGGCUGAGGAUAGACUGGGGGGCCCUGUGAUGGUACUUGCUGAUAUGGUGGGGGCACUGAAUUAUACUGUGACGGUGCCGGGCAGUACUGUGGCUGGGGCACCGGAUUAUAUUGCGGCAGUGGCACCAGGUCCUCUCACUGCAGUGGUAGCUCAACCUGUGGCAGCGGGGGAGGGUCGGGUAACUCCCUUCUCUCCUCUCGACCCUGUUGGGCAGUAAUGAGUCUCUCCAGCAUCUCAAAUAUCCUGUCAACGUCUUUCCGCAGCGAACCAUCCCGGACUACUCGGUUUAGUGGGGGUCUCCCUCUUCUCAUCUCUCUGUACCUGCAUUUCACAAUGAAGGGUUAAGUAAUAAUUCAUUGGUUUGGUGUUUUUAUAAGUAUCAUUGUGUAAGGAACGAGUCCGAGGAACGCGGCUCUGAUACCAACUGUAACAACCCCGAAAUUUCAAAAGAAAAUACAUAUAAUAAUCUGAGUGCGGAAACGAAAUAAAAGAUUAAGGUUAAUAUCCCUUACACAAUAACUUAAAAGUACUAAACAAU